rnacentral:misc_RNA from 1 species
AACGCACAUUGCGCCCUUUAGUAUUCUGAAGGGCAUGCCUGUUCGAGCGUCAUUAUCACUAAUCAGGCUUGGCUUGCUGUUGGACCUCUUGUCGUUAAACCGACAGGCUCUAAAGAUAAUGACGGCGUUAUUUGGACCCCUAGAUGCAACGAGCUUUCAUCAGCAUGCGUUUAGUUGGACCUUUUAACCCGAUCUUUUUUAACCAAUUUUCUAAGGUUGACCUCGGAUCAGGUAGGAAUACCCGCUGAACUUAA